UUUCGUGCCAAAUUAUCCGCU
rnacentral:siRNA from 1 species